GGAACUAUUUAGCUGCUAAGCUAUAGUGUGUCCUAGUGUGAUCUUUACUUCCAGGAAGUACACUCGGACAACUCUGUGGAGAAUUGGUUAGAGGGAAAGACCUUGAAAGAAGAGAUCAAAGAAAAGAUGGGGAACUAAGAUAUAAACAAGUUAACUUGCCUAAGGUCAGAAACUGAGUCAAGGACAGAACAGAACCAUGUCAUCAAAUUUAGAGAAACCUGAACUAUGAGGUUCUUAAAGGCCCAGAAAAUCCAUUGCCUCCUGUUGAUGCAGCACAAGGGCAGAGGUUUAAGAGGAAUGUGGGAACUGGAAAUGCCAGAGGAA
rnacentral:lncRNA from 13 species